rnacentral:rRNA from 1 species
GAUGAACGCUGGCGGCGUGCCUAAUACAUGCAAGUCGAGCGAACGGACGAGAAGCUUGCUUCUCUGAUGUUAGCGGCGGACGGGUGAGUAACACGUGGAUAACCUACCUAUAAGACUGGGAUAACUUCGGGAAACCGGAGCUAAUACCGGAUAAUAUUUUGAACCGCAUGGUUCAAAAGUGAAAGACGGUCUUGCUGUCACUUAUAGAUGGAUCCGUGCUGCAUUAGCUAGUUGGUAAGGUAACGGCUUACCAAGGCAACGAUGCAUAGCCGACCUGAGAGGGUGAUCGGCCACACUGGAACUGAGACACGGUCCAGACUCCUACGGGAGGCAGCAGUAGGGAAUCUUCCGCAAUGGGCGAAAGCCUGACGGAGCAGCGCCGCGUGAGUGAUGAAGGUCUUCGGAUCGUAAAACUCUGUUAUUAGGGAAGAACAUAUGUGUAAGUAACUGUGCACAUCUUGACGGUACCUAAUCAGAAAGCCACGGCUAACUACGUG